rnacentral:rRNA from 1 species
UACGAAGGGGGCUAGCGUUGUUCGGAAUUACUGGGCGUAAAGCGCGCGCAGGCGGUCUUCCAAGUCAGUGGUGAAAGCCCGGAGCUCAACUCCGGAACUGCCAUUGAAACUGUUAGACUUGAGGAUGAGAGAGGUGAGUGGAAUUCCCAGUGUAGAGGUGAAAUUCGUAGAUAUUAGGAAGAACACCAGUGGCGAAGGCGGCUCACUGGCCCGGUACUGACGCUGAGGCGCGAAAGCGUGGGGAGCAAACAGG